rnacentral:lncRNA from 1 species
CUCACAUUUCUGAUGGCCAUUAAUGGUCCUGUUGCAAACAGAAAUGCUGCUUAUUCCUCUCGUGCUGGUGUUUGCAGGAGUUUCUCAUGUUUUAUCUACAGAAACCAAGACUGUCUGUGAUGCGACCCAGUUUGCUACAUGUCAUGGGACCCUGGGAGAACCUACAUAUUUACAGUUGCUGCCAAGUGCCGUUGGACAUCAAUUACUUUGCAAGAAAAUGACUCAGAAUGGUCUUACAGGGGUUUUUAGAUUAAAAAAGAACCAGACUGUGUUCUUCAAUGAGUCCUUCACCUCACCUAUACAGGACCGAUGGCACUUUGUUGCUGCAAACGGUACAAUAAUGAUCAACCCAGCAACAAAGAGAGACUCAGGAACAUACAGAGUAGAGAUCCACAAUGAAGAAACAGGGGCGCUUGUGGCAAAUACCACAAUACAGCUGAUUAUUUUGGGUACACACAGUACUGUGAGAUCCAUUUUGACUGACAGGACCGACAACCCCAGCAAGAUGGAAACACGUGUUUGUACCCACAGUACUGUGAGAUCCAUUUUGACUGACAGGACCAACAACCCCAGCAAGAUGGGAACACGUGUUUACAUGGUCAGUUUAAUAGCAGCUUCACUUGGCGUGGUCCUGCUGUGUGUGACUGUGUAUGGGGGAGUAUACUAUGUCUGCCAGAGGAGGACACACACACCCAAACCAGCUGAGUCUGUUGAAGUGGUGUAUGCUGAGAUCACCGUGCUGAAAAGAGAGAACAAGCAGCCGGAACAGAGAAUGAAGGAGGAGGAGGGCAGUGUAUAUUCGACCCAUAUGAGUUUUUCAGUGGCCAAGGCCGAUGCCGAAGCCGAUUAGAGAACAGGGUGGCCGAUGGCCGCUAUAUAUAUAAUACCGAUAUCAUGUUGUUUGUUGCCGAACUUAAAUUAACAUUUAUUUAACACGGUUAUUGUCUGCAUUGUCUCUGUUUGUUUAUGUAGGUUGCACUUUGCACUCUGCUUAUUGUUUUAAAUUAAAAAAAAAUUCCACAAGUAAUCAAAAAAAUAAACUGAAUAAAAUAAAGUGUGUACGGAGGUUG